UCGUUGAGCACUAUGAUUUCCAUUUUUGAAUGACUUGAUUUCAUUAGUAUGGACAAAGUUAUGGAUGUUGAAAGGCUACCCAGAAAUUCCGACGAGUCACUAGUUUUCUUGUGGACAGACGUCUUUCAGGCCAUUUUCCGGCAACCUCCGACAACCAUUUGGACUCCAAGCAGGUAUACUCUUGUUCUACACUUCUCUAGCUUCAUUUUGGUAUAUCAUAGGUCGAAUUUGGUUGAGAAACAAGUGAGAUAUGGAGUUCUAAAAUUGCCCAGGAAAUCUGCAAAAUCCACAGAAUCCGGCGAAAUUUCGUUAAGGUCUGCCACUUGAUUAUUAAAGUAAUCGACGAUCCGACCAUUGGAUCAUCAACAAAAUUUAAUACAUUAUAGUACGUAAUAUUUGUGGACCAUAUGAACGUACGGAUCUUCCCAAAUUGGAUUUGUAAGUUCAUAAAAUAAAACGUUAACCGCCACUUGAAUUUGAAAUUGGCGGAGAUCCAACCGUUGGAUCGUAAAGAAACUUUAGGAUGUUGUUCUAGAAACAUAAUGUGUAUCUUUGGAAGUUACGGAUCGGAAAUCCGAGGAGCGGAUCUUCCAAAUCGAGUUAUGUAGAGUUAUGGACUCUACCGUCAACCUUUGAUCGACGUUUGACUUUUGGGGUCUAUGAGUUUCAAAUCAUUCUAGAACAUCAUUAAGGGAUGUAUUUUAUGUAAAUUACGUGUUCUAUCAGUAAGAAUUCUUAGACGUGGUUUGAUAAUUGUUCUAGGCGACAAUUGUUCGAGACAUCUCAAUAUUCGUGUUAAGGAGUGUAGCGAGGACCUCAGGUGAGUAGGCUUUUGGUUUUCUAUAUAUACGUAUAUAUGCCUUAUGUUUCCCAGAAACUGUUUUAAAGGAAAUUACGUUUGAAAUGCCAUGUCAUACUUGCAUUACAUUUUAGUAUUUGCAUUGGUAUAGCUAUGCAUAAUAUUGCAUGAUGUUGCGGAGGCCCAUAAAAGCUACAGGUGAGUACACUGUGAUAAUAGUGGUUGCAUUGUGUUUGGUUAUGUGUGGAUACAUUUAGAGCUCAUUAUCCUGCAUCCCAGUGUUAGUGCUUUGCCUGAGGCCAGGGCCUAGCCUUCACGUGAUCAUUCACCUCCCGCACCACACGCUCACCUUGGAUCCAAGGCAAGUGCUAGCUUGUCGUACAUACCACAUUAGGUGGUUCCGACUUGUAGGUGACCCGCGAUUCAUCACCAGCCUUCACGUUAUUGUAGAACUUGAGCGUACUUAUUUACACCCAGCAUGUCAUACAGACCAUAUUAGGUGGUUCCGACUCGUGUGCAGGACUUGAGUGAUGAGCUAUAGGUUCAACCGUACAGGUCACAUUAGGUGACUUCGGUUAACAUUCCACUUUAUAUUGACUCAUAUCACCUGGCUUACUUAUUU
rnacentral:lncRNA from 1 species